rnacentral:lncRNA from 1 species
UGUAAGUACCAAGCUUUCACAUUUAUUUUCUGCACAGUUUUUCUUUGUAGUUCUAGUGGGUCUAAUCAGGGGCGGAUCUAAGAUCCAAAUUGUGGGGACACCAAACAAAUUUUCGGAAACACCUAUAUAAUUUUAAAUUUUGUCGGAACACUUUUGUAAUUUUGCAAAAUUUAGAAUGGUAAAAUAAAAUUGUAGGAAAAGAUUUAGGGGGGACACGUGUCCCCGGCCCAUGACUCUUCCUAGAUCCGCCCCUAGUCUAAUGCCUCGCUAGUCUCUAUCUCCUCUACUAAGAGCCUUGAACAAGAAGUGUCAAAAAAGAAAAUAUAUAUAAGUACAUCAAAUGGACUAAUUUUGAGAAGUUGGUAUUGGGGAUUGUAGUCUGAGGAUGAUGGAGAGGGAGGGAGAAGGAAAAAGGGCAUCAAGGAAAAGAUUAAGGACACGUUUCCUGGAGGCCACAAGCAGGAGCAUCAGACACAAGCAGUAGUCACUGGAGAAUCAUAUGGUACUCCUGGAGAGUAUGGAACAACUGGUACUGGAGAGCAGCCUCAUGAGAAGAAAGGAAUCAUGGAAAAGAUCAAGGACAAGCUGCCUGGUGGUCACAAUGAUCAGGAGCAAUAUCAGACUCAUACUACUAGUACUCCAGUUAGCGGAGGAUCCUAUGGUGCUACUGGAGAAUAUGGAACUACUGCUCCCGGAGAGCAGCCUUACGAGAAGAAAGGGAUUAUGGAAAAAAUCAAGGAUAAGUUGCCCGGCGGUCACAACUGAUUUUACACUCUGAUGUCAGUCAUGGCCAUGACCAUAUUGUUUGUGCGCGUCUGUUUCAAUAUUUGUAACCAUAAAAUGUAAUGCCAGC